AACUUGCCAGAGAUGUCGCCUCUUUCCGCUAAGGCACAAAACUUGCAGAGCCAGGUGUUCCCCAGGCGCUUCCCCGCACGCCACCGCCCGCGCCAUCCCCCCAGCCCCCACCAGCGUGGUGAGGGUGUCCUCGGUCCCCAAGGUCUGCAGUCUUGGCCCUCUCUGAGUCGGGUUCAUCUCUCGGGCUUCCAGGCUUCUUUUUGAGGGGCGCUCUCCAGCUUCGGGCUCCAGUUCUGCCCAGUCCGCACAUCGACCCCCCCGGUCACCAGGGCGCCAGGGGCUGGGCUUCGCCAGGACACCCUCAGUUAUACCAGCACGGCUGCGCAACACUUCUUUGGAGCCUUCGCGGUGACGAGCAGCCGGGCGAAGCGGCCCUCCUCCUCACGACAGCCCGAGGAGGGGGUCAGGGUCAUUUUCAGACAGCCCCCUCUGGCUUCCUCUUCACACCCUGCUCUAGAUGGAGGAGAGAGGUACGCCCAGCCCGGCUCAGCUAAAAGCAGGGAGAAGAGCCCGGCCGAGACCUGGAAGCCUCGGCUUGGGAGGAGCUGGUCCGACGGACCCUUCCUGCCCCGGUUUGUCCGGACUCCGGAUCUCCGGGUAGGAGCCAGAAGAAAGCGCAUUCCAGGGAUUUCAAGCGAACUAUACUUAAAAUCUUGGAGGUGGGAAAUGUAGGGUGCGACUGAGCCUCUCCCGCCUUCAGGCCUGGCAACUCUGGGUCGGCGCUCCUGGAACCUCACAUCUCGGGUGUGAGCAACCUAGGACACAAAACGCGGGGAUGGCUUGGAAGCCCGUGGGCAGGCGAAACCGGGAGUUCUGGCAGCGGCUCAGCCUCCCCCUCCUCCUCCCUCCCCCUCCCUCCCCCUCCCCUGCCUUCCCCCGGGAGCAGCGGGAAAUUAUUUAUUAAAACGCCGCCCGCGCUCUCAUUUAUUUGCGGUGAAUAAUCCUCGGCAUCUCAGCACGUUUAUUAAACCUUUCCCGUCCCUGCGCCCGCAUUACUUUAAUAAUAAAUCGCGUGUCACUUUCCA
rnacentral:lncRNA from 1 species